AUUUUUACUUUAAAAUGAAAAUACAAUGGCAUUAGCACCAUAUAUAGUGAAUUACACUGGGCCCUCUUCCGCCAAUACCCUGGACCCUGGCAGGUGAUGCUUAAGCAAACGGAUAAUUCGUAUGCUUGUGUUGCUGAAAGUGAAACCCGCUUCACCCUUAAUGAAACGAAAGAAGAACUGCUAAGGGUUCUUGGACUGAAGGAGGAACAAGGAAGCCAACUUGAGUUCCUUCGCAGGGGCUAUAAGACUGCAACAUGGUGGGAGGAAGACGUUGAUUUGGAGUUAUCAUCAGCAUGGCGUAACUAAGUUGAACCCGAUAAAAAAUGGGGCUUAGUUAUGAUCAUUUCAUAUUGUUUUUACUUGUAUAUCAAUCAGUACACAUAUUUCCUCUUGAUUUUUUUUUCUAAAGUUUUUUAUAUACUUCUAUUUUUGU